GGCUGGAGUGAAGGUAGUGAGUUAUUUCAAUUGAUUGUUCACGGUCAAUUACAGAUUGAACUCCUUUUUCUACUCUUUCGCCUACUGAACUUGACUAGUCCAAA
rnacentral:Y_RNA from 1 species